AGAUUGAACGCUGGCGGCAGGCCUAACACAUGCAAGUCGAGCGGUAGAGAGGUGCUUGCAUCUCUUGAGAGCGGCGGACGGGUGAGUAAUGCCUAGGAAUCUGCCUAGUGGUGGGGGAUAACGUUCGGAAACGGACGCUAAUACCGCAUACGUCCUACGGGAGAAAGCGGGGGACCUUCGGGCCUCGCGCCAUUAGAUGAGCCUAGGUCGGAUUAGCUAGUGGUGAGGUAAUGGCUCACAAGGCGACGAUCCGUAACUGGUCUGAGAGGAUGAUCAGUCACACUGGAACUGAGACACGGUCCAGACUCCGUACGGGAGCAGCAGGUGGGAAUAGUUGGACAAUGGGACAAAGUCCUAGGAUCCGACGCCAUCGGCCGCGUGU
rnacentral:rRNA from 1 species